UGCAAGUUGGCUUCACUUCAUUUACACACUCAAAGACAUCACAGCACUUGCCAGGCGUUCCAUCUCCACGCGAGACUAUUUGAGGAACGGAGCCUGCCUCGCACAUGGGGAAACCACAUAAACCAGAGAGACACUCGCAUCUUGUGGGCAGGGUACAGCAGCCAUCAGCCGUCAGCCUGACUUGGGUUUCAUAGCUAUCCAGUGGGCAAACCACUUGCUGAACAGGAGGGCACUCCACUGUGCUGCAGUCCACACUGAACACUGGUUUACAUUCAUAGAGAUCACAGCAUUCCCC
rnacentral:lncRNA from 1 species